AGCGAACGCUGGCGGCAGGCCUAACACAUGCAAGUCGAACGAUCCUUCGGGAUAGUGGCGGACGGGUGAGUAACACGUGGGAACGCGCCCUUUGGUUCGGAACAACUCAGGGAAACUUGAGCUAAUACCGGAUGUGCCCUUCGGGGGAAAGAUCUAUCGCCAUUGGAGCGGCCCGCGUUGGAUUAGGUAGUUGGUGGGGUAAUGGCCCACCAAGCCUACGAUCCAUAGCUGGUCUGAGAGGAUGAUCAGCCACACUGGGACUGAGACACGGCCCAGACUCCUACGGGAGGCAGCAGUGGGGAAUCUUGCGCAAUGGGUGAAAGCCUGACGCAGCCAUGCCGCGUGAAUGAUGAAGGUCUUAGGAUUGUAAAAUUCUUUCACCGGGGACGAUAAUGACGGUACCCGGAGAAGAAGCCCCGGCUAACUUCGUGCCAGCCGCCGCCGUAACAC
rnacentral:rRNA from 1 species